ACUCCUACGGGAGGCAGCAGUGGGGAAUUUUGGACAAUGGGCGAAAGCCUGAUCCAGCCAUGCCGCGUGCAGGAUGAAGGCCUUCGGGUUGUAAACUGCUUUUGUACGGAACGAAAAGACUCUGGUUAAUACCUGGGGUCCAUGACGGUACCGUAAGAAUAAGCACCGGCUAACUACGUGCCAGCAGCCGCGGUAAUACGUAGGGUGCAAGCGUUAAUCGGAAUUACUGGGCGUAAAGCGUGCGCAGGCGGUUAUAUAAGACAGAUGUGAAAUCCCCGGCUC
rnacentral:rRNA from 1 species